rnacentral:rRNA from 1 species
GAUGAACGCUAGCGACAGGCUUAACACAUGCAAGUCGAGGGGCAGCACGGGUGUAGCAAUACACUGGGUGGCGACCGGCGCACGGGUGAGUAACGCGUAUGCAACUUGCCCAUCAGAGAGGCACAGCCCAUCGAAAGAUGGAUUAAUGCCCCAUGAAACAGGGACCCCGCAUGGGGAUAUUUGUUAAAGGAGUGAUCCGCUGAUGGAUAGGCAUGCGUUCCAUUAGGCAGUUGGCGGGGUAACGGCCCACCAAACCGACGAUGGAUAGGGGUUCUGAGAGGAAGGUCCCCCACAUUGGUACUGAGACACGGACCAAACUCCUACGGGAGGCAGCAGUGAGGAAUAUUGGUCAAUGGCCGGAAGGCUGAACCAGCCAAGUCGCGUGGAGGAAGAAGGAUCUAUGGUUUGUAAACUUCUUUUGUGCGGGGGUAAAGGGCGGUAUGUAUACCGCAUUGAAAGUACCGCACGAAUAAGCAUCGGCUAACUCCGUGCCAGCCGCCGCUGUAAUAC